ACAGGUAAACGACCUUCUCCUCCUCCCAAAGGUCGUUUGCGAGAUCAGCGCCACUCCUCCUCCCAAGGUUGCUGAUCGGUUUUCUAAGAGCCUGCCGCUCCUCCCGCGGCGGGCUCUUUUG
rnacentral:sRNA from 1 species